GAUGAACGCUGGCGGCGUGCCUAAUACAUGCAAGUCGAGCGAACAGAUGAGGAGCUUGCUCCUCUGACGUUAGCGGCGGACGGGUGAGUAACACGUGGAUAACCUACCUAUAAGACUGGGAUAACUUCGGGAAACCGGAGCUAAUACCGGAUAAUAUAUUGAACCGCAUGGUUCAAUAGUGAAAGACGGUUUUGCUGUCACUUAUAGAUGGAUCCGCGCCGCAUUAGCUAGUUGGUAAGGUAACGGCUUACCAAGGCAACGAUGCGUAGCCGACCUGAGAGGGUGAUCGGCCGCACUGGAACUGAGACACGGUCCAGACUCCUACGGGAGGCAGCAGUAGGGAAUCUUCCGCAAUGGGCGAAAGCCUGACGGAGCGACGCCGCGUGAGUGAUGAAGGUCUUCGGAUCGUAAAACUCUGUUAUUAGGGAAGAACAAAUGUGUAAGUAACUAUGCACGUCUUGACGGUACCUAAUCAGAAAGCCACGGCUAACUACGUG
rnacentral:rRNA from 1 species